rnacentral:misc_RNA from 1 species
UAAUUAUUUUCAUCUAAAAAUCAAGGAUGAUCCACCCUGAGCGUGCGUGUUUUACGUACCCUAUUCUUCUCGCGUUGGAUCAAUAUAUAUAUAUAUAUUUUUUUUUACAUUAACGAAUCAUUCUCCCGUAGUAACCGUAGUCGUAAAGCGAUUAGUAGUUUAGUUAGUGUGUGAAUUAAUAGUAGUCAGCGAUAACAGCGCCUCUCCUCUCCCAUAACACACGGCGCGUCUUAAUAGUUGAAAUAGGCGGUGUAAUAGUAACAGUUGUAUGCGGUCGUCUUCCACCUUACGAUUAAUAGUUAAUAAUUAAUAGUAGCGGUAACAUAGUAGUAGUUUACCUUACAAUAGCGUUAUUAUUAAUUAGUAAUAGUAGUAGUAGUAGUAGUAGUAGUAGUAGUAGUAGUAAUAGUAGUAGUAGUAGUAGUAGUAGUAGUAGUAGUAGUAGUAGUAGUAGUAGUAGCAGUAGUGAUAGUAGUAGUGUUAGCAGCAGCAGCAGCAGCAGCAGCAGUAGUAGUAGUAGUAGUAGUAGUAGCGAUAGUAGCAGUAACAGUAGUAGUGAUAGUAGUAGUAGUAGUAAUAGUAUUAAUAGUAAUAGUGUUAGUAAUAGUAGUAGUUGUAGCAGUAGCAGCAGCACUAGUGAUACUAGUAGUGAUAGCAGUAAUAGCGAUAGUAGCAACAGUAGUAAUAGUAAUAGUAGUAGUAGCAGCUGUAGUGAUAGUAAUAGUAGUAUUAGUAUUAGUAGCAGUAGAAGUAGUGGUAGUGGUAGUGGUGGUAGUAGUGAUAGUAGUAGUGACAGUAAUAGUGUUAGUAGUAGUAAUAGUAAUAGAGUAUCAGUGUUAGUAGUAAUAGUAGUAGUAGUAACAGCAGUAGUAGCAAUAGUAGUUAUAGUCGUAGUAGUAGUAGUAGUAGUAGUAGUAAUAGUAGUAGCAGUAUUAAUAAUAGUAGUAACAGUAGUAGUAAUAGUAUUAGUGGUAGUGGUAGAGUAGUGGUGGUGCUGUGGUGGUAAGUGACUUUUCCUAUUUUUUCUUCUUUUGGUGGUGGUGCUGAUGGCGAUGGUGGUAUGGUGGUGGUGGUAAUUGUUGUACAGUAAUAGUUAUAAUAAUAGUAGUAGUUUUUCUUCCCUCGUAGUUAUUAACAAUAUAGUUGCAGCGGUAUUUAUCGUCGCUUCGUAAUAUUAUUAGUAGCGGUAAGAAGCAAUUUUUAUAGGAAUAGUAGCAUCGUAUCGCUCCCGUUAUUUUCUUUAACUCGAGUCUGUGUAAAUGUUACGCUUCUUUUUUCAUUUUUCUUUCUUCUAACGCUAGUUAUCGAUAUUACUAGUCUCAAGUUCUUUGUACUAUCACUACGAACCGAUUGACAGGGUGCCUCCAUUCAUCCCAUUUAAUCGCGAUUUCGACUCGAUCCUAAACUCUUUCUCUUUUCAAUUUCAAUGUUUGAGAUCAAAUGGGAAUCUAAAGAUGAAUUUUUAAUGUCUCACUCUAAUAAAUGAAAUUCUACUGUAUCUUCCACAAGUUAGUAAUAAUACAGCGGAACAAUCAAACCUCGAACAAGUCACUCGUAACAAAACCUCUGGAUUCUAAAGCAGCGUUAGUCGUCUACGAAUAUUAAUUUUUUAAAGACACAUAAAAGCAGAGAUAAGCGAGCAAAUAUAAUAAAAACCAACGGUCAGGGGAGGAGAUAGAAUGAAAAAAUGAAGCACUGGCUUUGAACGAUCGCCGUCUUAUUUCUUGUGUAAUUAACGCUAGGAACGGAACAAAACCGAACUAAUAUUUAAAAGCAACCGCUCGUGACAACGAACAACUUUCGUCUCUCUGCUCUGUUUUCCUUUUUAGGAUCACAGUGACGAAUGGGACGCGAGUUAAUCGAGUUGCACGAUCGUCGGAUCCAGUCGUCGCUAAUGGGCAAGAACGCCGCGCACCCUUUCAAUCUUACUCGAAGAGAGAAAGAGAGAAAAAACAAAAGGGAUUCUCGUGAAACUUUACACCAAC